rnacentral:misc_RNA from 1 species
CAAAGAUUUUGCGAACUUCCGAAGAGCAGAAAUCUUCUUUUCACGAGGAUAGUCAGUUGUAGAACCAUUACUGAAAUUGAUAGAAAGGUCUAGAUCACUUUCGGUGGUAAAAAUGUCCAUCACAAAGGACCCAAAUGCCUCCAGCGUCGGAGACCCAUUUCUGCCACCAAACAUAUCCUCAGUCAUUUUUCUCAAUCUAUGGAUCAG